rnacentral:lncRNA from 1 species
AUAAGGAUAUACCCAAUUUUAAAAGAAGAAGUAGCAGGUACGAGGGUGUAGGAAGCAAGACAUGGAAUUUUGAAAAAUGUACUUGACGUUGAUCAAAUAUCUUUUAUCUUAGUAUUUUUGAAAGGUUAACUUUAAUGGUCAUUUUAUGCUUUUUGGAUUAACAAUUAUGCAUCAAAUAAACUAAAGAAAUAAAUCAAUAAAAAAGAUAAAAGAAAUGAUAAAAGGGAUGAGGCACACUAUCAAUGCAAGAGGUAAAAGAAGUAAAAAAACUAAAGGAAAUAAAAGAAAGAACAAAAUAAAUAAAUAAAUAAAGCAAUAAUAAUAAAAUAAAAAAUAAAAAAUAUAUACAAAAGACAAAAAUAAGCUGCAAAUUAAGGGUGUAGUUAGGAAAAUGCUCUAAACCCAAAAAAGGGAGAUUCAGGAGGAUGUAAUGUUCGGUGUGAAGAAGACUUCAUCUUCUCCAACCACAUAUUUGUACCAUUCCCAAGGCAACAAAA